rnacentral:rRNA from 1 species
UACGUAGGGGCAAGCGUUGUCCGGAAUCAUUGGGCGUAAAGCGCGCGUAGGCGGCCCGGGUAAGUCCGCUGUAAAAGUCCAGGGCUCAACCCUGGAAAGCCGGUGGAUACUGUCGGGCUAGAGUCCGGAAGAGGCGAGUGGAAUUCCUGGUGUAGCGGUGGAAUGCGCAGAUAUCAGGAGGAACACCGAUGGCGAAGGCAGCUCGCUGGGACGGUAACUGACGCUGAGACGCGAAAGCGUGGGGAGCGAACAGG